UACGUAGGGUGCAAGCGUUAAUCGGAAUUACUGGGCGUAAAGCGUGCGCAGGCGGUUUUUGUAAGUUUGUCGUGAAAGCCCCGGGCUCAACCUGGGAAUUGCGAUGAAGACUGCAAGGCUUGAAUCUGGCAGAGGGGGGGUAGAAUUCCACGUGUAGCAGUGAAAUGCGUAGAGAUGUGGAGGAACACCGAUGGCGGAAGGCAGCCCCCCUGGGUCAAAGAUUUGACGCUCAUGCACGAAAAGGCGUGGGGGAGCAAACAGG
rnacentral:rRNA from 1 species